rnacentral:rRNA from 1 species
GUGCCAGCAGCCGCGGUAAUACGGAGGGUCCGAGCGUUAAUCGGAAUUACUNGGGCGUNAAAGCGUGCGCAGGCGGUUUGUUAAGCCAGAUGUGAAAUCCCCGGGCUCAACCUGGGAAUUGCAUUUGGAACUGGCGAACUAGAGUCUUGUAGAGGGGGGUAGAAUUCCAGGUGUAGCGGUGAAAUGCGUAGAUAUCUGGAGGAAUACCGGUGGCGAAGGCGGCCCCCUGGACAAAGACUGACGCUCAUGCACGAAAGCGUGGGGAGCAAACAGGAUUAGAUACCCUGGUAGUCC